rnacentral:rRNA from 1 species
CAGCAGCCGCGGGAAUACGAAGGGUGCAAGCGUUAAUCGGAAUUACUGGGCGUAAAGCGUGCGUAGGCGGUUUGUUAAGUCUGUUGUGAAACCCCCGGGCUCAACCUGGGAAUGGCAAUGGAUACUGGCAAGCUAGAGUGUGUCAGAGGAUGGUGGAAUUCCCGGUGUAGCGGUGAAAUGCGUAGAGAUCGGGAGGAACAUCAGUGGCGAAGGCGGCCAUCUGGGACAACACUGACGCUGAGGCACGAAAGCGUGGGGAGCAAACAGGAUUAGAGACCCCGGUAGUCCCUGUCUCUUAUCC